GCCAGACCUGACUGCUAUCGGAUUGAUACUAAGCCAUGCGAGUCGUUGUAGCAAUACAAGGCAUACGGCUCAGUAACGCGUAGUCAACCUAACCUAUGGACGGGAAUAACCUCGGGAAACUGAGAAUAAUGCCCGAUAGAACAUUAUGCCUGGAAUGGUUUAUGUUCCAAAUGAUUUAUCGCCAUAGGAUGGGACUGCGGCCUAUCAGUUUGUUGGUGAGGUAAUGGCCCACCAAGACUAUUACAGGUACGGGCUCUGAGAGGAGUAGCCCGGAGAUGGGUACUGAGACACGGACCCAGGCCCUAUGGGGCGCAGCAGGCGAGAAAACUUUGCAAUGUGCGAAAGCACGACAAGGUUAAUCCGAGUGAUUUCUGCUAAAGAGAUCUUUUGUUAGUCCUAGAAACACUAACGAAUAAGGGGUGGGCAAGUUCUGGUGUCAGCCGCCGCGGUAAAACCAGCACCUCAAGUGGUCAGGAUGAUUAUUGGGCCUAAAGCAUCCGUAGCCGGCUCUGUAAGUUUUCGGUUAAAUCUGUACGCUCAACGUACAGGCUGCCGGAAAUACUGCAGAACUAGGGAGUGGGAGAGGUAGACGGUACUCGGUAGGAAGUGGUAAAAUGCUUUGAUCUAUCGAUGACCACCUGUGGCGAAGGCGGUCUACCAGAACACGUCCGACGGUGAGGGAUGAAAGCUGGGGGAGCAAACCGGAUUAGAUACCCGGGUAGUCCCAGCUGUAAACUAUGCAAACUCAGUGAUGCAUUGGCUUGUGGCCAAUGCAGUGCUGCAGGGAAGCCGUUAAGUUUGCCGCCUGGGAAGUACGUACGCAAGUAUGAAACUUAAAGGAAUUGGCGGGGGAGCACCACAAGGGGUGAAGCCUGCGGUUCAAUUGGAUUCAACGCCGGA
rnacentral:rRNA from 1 species